rnacentral:rRNA from 1 species
UAGUCCGCACGAGCGCACCCUUGUCCUUAGUUGCCAUCAUUCAGUUGGGCACUCUAAGGAGACUGCCGUACAAUACCGAGGAAGGUGGGGAUGAAGUCAAAUUCUCCUGGCCCCUUUUACCUGGGGUUCCCCCCUGGUUCCAUGGGGGGUACCAAAGGGCGCGAAAUCCCCAGAGGGAGCCAAUCCCAAAAAACCGUUCUCCGUUCCGAAUGCCGGGUGCAACUCCCCUGCCUGAAGCCCGAAUCCCCUGUAAUCCCCGAACAACAUGGCGCCGUGAAAAACUUUCCCGGGCUUGUU